rnacentral:rRNA from 1 species
CACGUAGGGUGCGAGCGUUGUCCGGAAUUAUUGGGCGUAAAGAGCGCGCAGGCGGUCGAUCCAAGUCGAGUGUGAAAGCCCCCGGCUCAACUGGGGAGGGUCAUCGAUACUGAUCGACUCGAAGGCAGGAGAGGGUAGUGGAAUUCCCGGUGUAGUGGUGAAAUGCGUAGAUAUCGGGAGGAACACCAGUGGCGAAGGCGACUACCUGGCCUGUUCUUGACGCUGAGGCGCGAAAGCUAGGGGAGCAAACGGG